CUCGGUCUGCUUGUCACGUUACAGCCAUUCUCCGGGCGAUUUGUUCAGCUGAGUCAGGGAAAGCUGCUGCCUGCUGCUCCUGAGAAACUCUUUGCACCUCAGUAGAGACAGCGCUAAUUAACACCGGUCUAAAUUAGAGCAGAACUAAGGCUAGUGCUUGAAAAACACGGGGUGAACAUAAAACCAGGAGGGCUGUGUGCACCCCGCUGAGCUGCUGCAGGUGCCGGAGCUUAGGGCUGUGCUUGGAGCUGGUGGCAGUGCUGCUCUGUGUUAUGCAGGCUCAGCGGGAGCUGCACAAGCCCUUACUGCCCUUCUCUGCAACGCUAAGUUGGAACUGGUCUUGGUUGGUCUUGGUCUCCGAAUGAGCUCCUAUGAAAGAUGACUGUUGUGUUUCCAUCCGGAGCAGCCGAGCAGCCCAACUUAUGCCUCUGGAAGUCAGUGGAGAGAAAGCCCUGUGCACAUUCACCCCUAACUGCAGCCUGCCUCCCCUGCCAGCAGUUUCAAUGGAGCAUGGAGCAGUACCAACAAUGCAGAAAGCCAACCCACAGACUCCAAAGUGAGGCUGAGAGGAGGAAGAUGAGCGGUUCCCUCAGAGCGGCUGACGCUGCAGGAGAGCUGCAGGAGUGAUGCACGAAUCUCACAUUGAAAUGGAAGCUCUGGAUCUUGAAAGUAAUGGGGUUGUUCCACAAUUUCCCACUCUGCAAGGACAGCUCAGUACCUGGGCCUGCUGUGAUGUCAUUCCUUUUGGGAACCUUUUCAGAUGAAGUCAGUGCAGGUGACCUCCACCUCCAUCAGAACACCACCGCUGUGAUCCUGGGCUGCUGGGUUCUCAAUUGCUCGUAGCAGUUUUCCUGUCUGUCCAUCAGUAGUGCUCCGUCAGUGUGCUGAGUUACAUCUGAGCGUUGGAAUGCAGCUGAGCUGAAUAAUCCCUACAGAUAGGAAGAGGAGGUGGAUGCACUCUCCUCAGGAAGAAGAGUCCAAGAGGAUGAUAGCAACAAUCCAGCUGGGCCCGCAAGUCAACCCCAUUCCCAGAUUUAGCCGAGAACUUUGGCAGUUUUUGAGGUGCUUGGGAUUUUGCCCUGGAUCCGCAGUGUCAGGAGUGGCUGCUGCCCAGAUUUGCAAGGUGUGGUACGGCCACUGCUGAUGCCAAUAGUCAGGGAGAGAGGAAUGAAACCUGCUGAGACUUUGGGAUGAAACAAAUCGGUAUUAAUUAAAAGCAAAUGCUGUCUGUUGACUAAGAGGUUCCAAAGCAGAUGUUUGUCAAAAUCGCCAGGAGAUGGGUCAUCUGAAAGCAGAAUUUAUAAAUAAUGAGAAUGAUGUCUCUGGUUAUUUCAUGUUUUCUCAGGUCAAAACCAGGUGUCAGUCAGUGGUGGAACUAUCACAGAGUGAAACACGUCGUGCUGUUACACUGCAGGGAGCUCCAUGCCAUCAUCUCUGUGCUUGUGACCCGUGCACCCAAAGCACUGUGCACCUAUAGACCUGUGGCAGCAUUACAUGCACAGCUGGCAGCAUGCUGGGCAGGCCCUCACAUCACUCCUGCAGGCAGAGGCCGGCAGCCUCGCUCCACCAAAUGACUCUCUGCAAUUUUAUGCUCAGGUGAAUGCAUGUUGGAAUGGCAUUGGCACCUCUGGAGGUCUCCAUCCCUCUCUGGCAGCAGCACAGAGGAAUCUGGGCAGCUCACUCUGUUCUGUCCUGGGAUACAUCAGAAGGGGAUGAAGAAACGUCCAGCUGUGAUCCAAACCAGCUUUUCCAGCCCUCUUUCAAAAAAAUAAAAAAAGUGGAGGCAGAAGUGUCACCAUCAGCAGCAGGGGACGUGGACUUCUGGGGGAGGAGAGCAUCAUGCAGAAGGGGCUGCUCAGUGAGGCCCUGGCAGGUACAGAACCAUGAGGGACCCGGCAGCGCGGAGCCAACAGGGGCACCCUGUGCACCCCAGGAGCAGAGACAGAAGAGCAGAGAGACAGCAGCUGCACCAAGCCAAAACCCUACGAAAUAGUCCUUAAGCCUUAAUGAAACCCAUAAGAUAACCUUGAAGAUGAGAAUGGAUGCGCCCAAAGUCCCCCAUGGAUGUGUCGGAUAAAGCCAUGUUUGGAGAUGUCAAAGAGAUUGCGGUGGGAUGGAGGACGCUCACACUUUGCUCUCUGUUAGGGACAUUGGCCCAGAGUGCUCAGGUUCUAUUUAUGUCUACAGGGGAGAUGCACACCUACAGGGUGACACAGGCAUGCGUGCAGCCUGGACAGAUGUCCACGUGCCUAUGGACAGACAUCUGGACCCAUCCACCCUGCAUGCCAUCCCAUGGCACAGAGCAUGGGGACACCACCAGCGUGCAGCCAGGAGGCCAUGGUACCACAAUGGAGGGGUUGUUCUGCACUUUAAUGGAGGAAAAAAAAAUCCUAUAGUGCAUCAUGAAUAGUCCAAAAUGCAAAGAUGACAAUUUAAGUGUUUAAAAUGUACUCAAGGUAAUUCCAAACAAAUUUUAAAGCCAUUUCAGACUAUAAAACCCCUCAGCUAAAUCAUUGGUUAUAUGGCGGCAGUGCUUAUGUUGCAAAAUAUCAUGAGCAUGAAAGGGAAAGUUUUAAAGAUUGCCGGUUAAUCCUUAUAAAUGAGUUAUUGGCAUCGCAGAGCUGCAGCUGGAGGAGCUGCCUGCUGGAGGCUGAGCCCACUGGGAGCCCCGGGGCUGUGAUCUGUGGGGUUUGGUGAUGGUAUCCCUGCAGCACUGCAUCCCUGCAUGCUGCACCCAUGCUGUUGCGUGGCCCACAGCAUCCCUGCACUCAACACCUCCCAGCUGGGCCCAGAAGGAGCAGGAAGGGUGCACAGAGCCAGAGUACUGCCUCCCAGUGUGGGAUUCCUCCUGCAUCCUGCUGGUGGGGAAACGCACUGGGGAGCAUGGAGAGGGAAUGCAUAAAAGUUGGUUCCCUCCCUGCACUGCGCUGAACUUUUCUCCCCGUGUCUGCGCCCUGAUUUGAGACACAGCACUCCUCUCCUCUCCCGCUCUCUUCCUUUCACCAAACAGAUGUAACUAUUUAUUCCUUAUGUCCCAGUUUUCCUGUAAUUUCAUAAAGUGCAAAUUUGCUGUCCUGCUCCCAAAUGCCGAGUCGGUGGUUUGUCAUAACAGUCAUCAGUAACUGUCGCUUUCUGCCUGGGGCUUAAUUAACCCACUCUCUCAUUAGCAUGUCCAUGCAGUUGUAAGGAAUGAAAGCCUGAUUAUUUUCUACAACAGUCGCAGCCAAUUACUGCACCGAAAUGGAACCACAUUAAUCAAAUCUUUAGUACAGUGGCAAAUUCAGAGAUAUCAGAUUGCAAAAGACUGCAAACCUAAUAUGUCACUGUCAGCGGAGCUACGCAGGCAUUUAGCGAAUUGCAUUAAAUAGAUGGCUUCGCUGAAACCGCAUGAAUUUAAUAUGUGAUGGGAUCUGGAAGCUAUUAGUGUGACAUGGCAAAGCACUGGGAGCUUGGCAGCUCUGGACUUUAUCCAUGAACUCAGGAAACUCAUGCACAAACUUGUGCGCACGCGGCAGAACGCAGCACUGCUGGGGCACAGCGCAGAGCACAGUCAUGGCCGAACCCACAGCGCUGUGCAGGGCUGGGAAACCUCCCCCCAUCCCACCACAUCCCCACUGUGUGCCAUGCAGCAGCACAGCUCACGUGGAUGUUCUCCAUCCUACCGUUCUCUUCCAGCAAAAGGUGCAGCUGCACGUUCCCUCUCCAGGCUGCUAUCUGCCAUCUACCUCAUGCAUGCCUGCUUCGAGGUGUUUCAAAUAUAUAUAUAUAUAUAUUUUUUUUUUCCUAAGCAAUCAAUCUGUGCAACCGAGGAGCUGAAUUUAAAUACCGGGGUUUUCAUUAUCUCCAACACAGAAAAAAAAGACAGAAAGGGGAGAGAGGGACAUUGAAAAUGGAGUGAAAUCAAUUCCAAUCUGUUGAGUGACACCUUUGGAGGUGUGCACAAUCCACAUGGCGUCUGGUUGGGGUGCACAAAAUCUACCUCUGCAUUAGGGAAGUGUGUUGCAGAUGUCCUUUGGCUGCACGCUGCUUCCAUGUGGGUGCCACAGCCCAACUUAUGGGCUCUGCAGUGCGUUAAGGCGUAAUGCUCUCCCCAGCCAUGCAGGUGCAUACAGGCAGAGCUUCUCCAGUGGGACACAGACCUGGAAUGCCUUCUUCAGAAAAAGAAACAAAUGAUCCCUGGGCUGGGCUCGCUGACACUGCUCUACUUCAAAGAACAGCCUCCAGCACUUGGAUUAAUUAGCUACAGGAUGCAAAUGCCCUUGUGCAAUAAAUCACCUGGGCAUGCACAGUCUGCACAUGCAGCUCCUCAGGAUGCAAACCACCCGCCAGGCCCUGGGCUGUGUGCUGUGCUGCGUGUCCUGUGUCAGCCUUUAUUCUGUCCCCAGGGGAGAGCAGUGCUGAGCGGAGCAAACCCUGGAGCUGAGAUAGCUGCAACACCUGCAGAUCCCCGGGCUUCAGGGUUCCUAAUCCUCGAACAUACAAUGCUCAGGAGGAUCUUCCCAUGUCCCCAAAGCGGUAUCUCCUGCUGCACUUUGGUUUUAAGUACUCACUCUCCUCCCUGGAGACACUAUUACAAAGUCUGAUGGAUUUGCUCUUGCAGAGCUCUACUGGGGGGAGCCUCUUCUGCAUUAUUUAAAAUUUUCAGUGUUGAAAAAUCAAUGAUUACACGAGAAGUGCUCAGAGCUCAGGCAAGUUGCGGGCGAAGCUUCAGGGAAGCUGAGCCCAGAGGCAAAGCAAAGCCCCAGCUCAGCUCUGCAGCACGCGGGGCGCGUGCCAAGCUCUGCUCCGUGCCUGAGCCCAGCAGAUGCACCAUGAGCCCCACGUGGCUGGAGGACCAUGUGGGUGACCCAUGGAGCACUGAUGACCAACAGAUGCAUUACCAGCUCGCCCCAUCCCCACUCACUGCCAUCACAGCUCCCAUGUCCAACACCAGGGACAAAUGUCAAAGCCAGCACUUUGGUUCAAAAUCAGAUUGGAAUGUCCCUUCCUAAUCACAGAGGUGCACAAACUCAAUGUCAUCUGUAAUGAUUCAGAACAAAGCCUGGAAAAAUAGUGUCCCAGCACACAAGGAUCCUAAAACCUUUGAUAUACGGCUUGCAUUAUUAGCAAUAAUUUCUGUGACUGCAUCCAGAUUCGCAGGAGCACAUUCAGUGAUAACCAUGUGCUUUGGCUCACGGCAUCCCAUGAUAGGACAAGGGGGAAUGGUUUUAAACUGAGACAGGGGAGGUUUAGGUUGGAUAUUAGGAGGAAGUUUUUCACCCAGAGGGUGAUGACGCACUGGAACAGGUUGCCCAAGGAGGCUGUGGAUGCCCACAGGCAUUCAAGGCCAGGCUGGAUGUGGCUCUGGGCAGCCUGGGCUUGUGGUUGGUGACCCUGCACAUAGCAGGGGGUUGGAACUGGAUGAGCAUUAUGGUCCUUUUCAACCCAGGCCUUUCUAUGGUUCUAUGAUUCUGAUUAUCCCAACGCCUCCCCAUGCCUGGAUCCCCCAGCUCUGCUUUGGGGACAGCCCUGCUCUGCCCAACACUCCCUGAAGUCCCAUUCCCCAGCAGCCACCGCAGCCCCACUGCUGCUCACAGCCCCGCGUGCACCCAACAAUAAAAGGCGUUCGCCAACCUCCGCCUCUUUUCACAGCCAGGCUUCAAGUUCACGUGUGAAUUUAUGCCAGUUUUGACAUUAGCAGGAAAAAUUAACAGUUCUCACACACCGAAAGGAAAAAAAAAAAAAGAAAGAGAAAGGAACGAAACUCACACAAAAGAGGUUUUGUGUUUCAAGCAGAAUAAAUUAUGGUGUGAUGUUAUUAAAACACUUAGUUGUUAAGUUGCCAAGAAAAUCCAGUAUAUUCACACGGACUCGAGGACCUGUCUCCAUGCAAAGUAAUUAAAUUAGAUUUAUGGGCUGCAUUACAUCAGUGUUUGAUAGUUCAUUUUUCCUUUCUUCAUAUUUUGUCCUGCUUUAUUAGAGCAUGUGACAGAUGGUAAAAAUAGUGUGAAGUUUCUUGGCCCUGUGCUAAAUCCCCCUUCGGUAGUAUAUCUCUCCUCUGUCAGUUCUCCCCAGCGAUGAUAAAUUAACCUCUCCUCUUCUAUCCCAAGUGUGGCAGUAAAGCACUCUUUGACACAGCGCUAUCACUUUAUCUUAAUCUGCACUGGGCGGGGAGGGGGCGGAUGGGAGAUGAUGCAAUCGCUGCCGUGAGUUGGGAAAAACAGAGAUUUAUGGUGUCAAAAAGGGGGAAACGGGAAGGCAGGAGGAGUGCUGAUCUAUAGGAGCUGCUCUGUGUGUCUGUGUGUGCGUAUAUAUGUGUGUAUACAAACAGCAAAAGCAGAGGUGUGGCUGCUCACUGUGGGGUCUUCUGCAUGGGGCCGCGUGGACCCCUCCCUGGGGACCCCUUUGUGUCCCAUGGGGUUGAGGGAUGCACUGAUGGAGUGGCCAUGGGUGGAUGUAUGGGGAUGUGACGUGGGAUGUCUGCAGUUAUGGAGCCCUCGGGGCAGCGCAGCCGUGGGGUCGGCACCUCCUCACCCAGCUAUAGCAUCUCUGAUUUGUGGAUCAAUAAUCAGAUAGCACAAAUUGUGGUGUCAAUGAAGCUGAAGCCCGUUAGGAAAAGUAGCGAUGUGAUGAGCAGCUCUUUGCAGAAUGGCUGGGAAGGGGGGAAGCCUGAUUGGGGUGUGGAAUUUGGGACAAAUUGAUGAAAUAACACCCAGAGGGGCAGGCGCCGGGCAUCACAGUGCUGCAGCUCUGCUUUCCAAUGAGAGCCCUACAGCACUCCUGGGCCAGCCCCAAAGUGGUUUGUGCUUAAAAGGAAAGCACCGAUCUCUCCAAUGCCGCCAUCAGCACAAAGGAAUUAAAAUAGCAGCUGGCAUCCACAGGGCUGUGGACUAAUAAGGAGCAGAGUGCCCACGGAGUGUGCAGGCUCAGGGUGAUGACAGUGGGAUCGGCCCCGUCCCAUAUUGCUCAUGGUGUGGAAUGGGAACAAAACCUGCUGAAAGCUGACCCACAGCUGUGCUCACAGCUCUGCUGGGAGAGACAUGAGAUGGUCACAGCAACAGUGGCACUGCUCUGCAGCACAGAAAGGUCACAGUGGCAAUGGCACUGCUCUGCAGCACGGGGGGGGGUCGCAGCAAUUGUGACGUUGCACUGCUGCAGGGGGACACAGCGAUGGUGGCAUCGCAUUGCAUUGCAUUGCAGCAGGCUCAUAGUGAUGGUGGCAUUGCAGCAGAGGAGAAUCACAGCAGUGGUGGCAUUGCACUGCAGCACAGGGGGUCGUAGCAAUGGUGGCAUCGCAUCGUAUUGCAGCAGGGUCAUAGUGAUGGUGGCAUUGCACUGCUAUAGGGGUGUCACAGUGAUGCUGGCAUUGCAUUGCAGCAGGGGCUGCAGGCCUGGCGUGCUCAGUAGCCAAUCGCACUGCGGUACGAGCCCAAGGAAAGCUCAUCAUUAAACCUGUAAUUUAUUUCUCCUGUAUUUCAUAAAAUGUGAAAUAUUACUGCUCUUCGGGUGCCCAGAGAGAACGGGGAUGCUCCAUUAAGUUCGACACUGCUCCUCCAUAAGAUGCAGUAAUUAUAUGCAGCUUUUUUUACUGCUAAGUUCCUACUUGCAGAUGCUAACAAAAGAAAUAAGCUUUUAAUCCAAACAUAAUUAAUAUGAAUUACCUCCACAGUACACCCUGGCUUUGCACCAUUAAACUUAAUUUUUGUUUUGCAUGAUAAUUGUGUUAUCAUUACCAUUUAUAGGAGAACUCAGGGACCUUCGCUUUGUUUGCAGCCCCGACCGAAGGUGGUGGCGGUGGAGCUGUCGGCCUUGCACAGCUCUGGCUUUGCUGCUUUCAGCCUUCUGUGCUUGUUUGUUCCCUUUACUCUUUGCAUGGGGAUCUGCGCUGCUGCCCACACGGAUGGGGAAUGAAUCCCACCAUGGGGAUGCAGCAGGAGCUCGGGAUGCUGCAGGCAGAGCCAGCAGUGGGAGCAAAGCAGGGCUGCAGCCCACUGCCCCAAAGCCAUGGGGCCGACCUGAAGCCCCACAGCUAAUUAACCCCGGGAUGAGUUUGUGCGGUCACAUUUCAGGAAGGAGAGAGAUGAAAUCAGGUCCCGUAAUUAUUUAUUGAAAUUACAGCCCUGUCGAGGAGGGCUGAAUUACUGCAGACUCCAUUAGCUGUGGAUGGGAGAGAGGGAAUGAGAAAAUGAUGGAUGGGAGAGACAGAGAGAAAUUUUAAAACUAAAAGGGGAAGAUGAGGGCCAGCAGUGCCCAAAUGGCACAGGGAGAGCGGAUGGAGGCAGGAAAAGUUUUCUCUGCAGUGGUCUGAAAUCAGCACAGUGAAUGAUCACAUAAAUAUAUUAAUUGUGCUAAUUAAUUUCCCCAGGAAAGAGGUUUCAGGAGCUGCAGGCAGCAGGUAGCUGGAGAAGGGUGAGAGCGUCACUUUGCAGGCAGUGCAGAUUCCCCCACUGGGGCUCCUCCGUGUGAUGCUGAGCUUUGGUCCAUGGAUGGGUCCUUCGAAAAUCUCAGCAGCAAACAUCUUAGGAAUCAUGAUAUGAUCCCAGCUGUGGAAUGGGACUGGGCUGAUGGGAACUGGGGGAUCCCACCACCACCCCACAGAGAGCAACAGGGGAUCCCACCACCAUCCCGCAGAGCUCCCUCUGGCCAAGGGCAGACCCCCACCCCCAUCCCUGUUGCUUCUGCCCUAUGCCACCUUCCCAACUCCACUGGAGGUGCAGUGAGUGAUGCACACACCGCGGUGCCCCUCAUCCCCUCCCAACCUGCCUCCUGAUAAUAAUGAGCCCAGACACUUUUAUUAUCAUUAUUAAUUAGCACUUUCAAGCAAUGGAAUUAAAUCAAUAUGGUGGACUGAAACUAAUUUUAACAAGCCAUUGAGAUCAAUCAUCAGGACUUUUAUCUACAUAAAUGCCACUAAACUCAGCUCGUUAGUGUAACAUUAGCUGGGAAAGGGGGGGAGAGAAGGGAGACUGGCGGGGUUUUAAUUAGGAAGACAUAAACCGUACCACAAUUUUUCUUCUUUGAUUUGCUUUUAAUCUCGUCCGUGAGCUCUCCCGGUGCCCCGGCUGAGUGCUGGGCUCCCACCUCCUCCCAGGGAGCAAUGGCAGCAGGAGAGGGCUGACCCUGGUCCCCAGGAUCAGAGCAGAUGAGAGUUUGCCAUGCAGGGCUCCCACUGCAGCCCCAGCCUGGGUCUGGGAACCCAGGGAGGUGCUGGGUCCUUUGGAGCCCCAUAACAGCUGGGAAGAACAGCCAGCUGGGGGACCACAGACUGAUGGGGGGAAGUGAGGGGCUCUGAUGCUGCAGGCUUCCAGCCCUGUCCAGUUUCUCAUUAGCACCACUCAUGGUACCCUCCAUAGCCCAGCAGUGCCAUGCUGCUUUACACCACCUGAGGAUCUGUCCCCCAGUGUCACCUUUCCCAGUGUCUCUGCCAUACCUUCCUGAGAAAUAUGACACACACACCAGAAAAUAUUUCCUUUUUGUUUGCUGGAUGGGUAAUAACUCGCCUCAGAGACAGCCUUUACAGUCAGCACAAAAGUAAUUUACCUACAUGCAGCACAACCAGAUUGCAAUAAAUCUGCUGCUUCCCAACCUUGCUGUACUCUGCUGCACCGUGCCAUGAUGCACCAUGCCAUGUUGCACUGCAUCAUGCCAUGCCGUGAUCCAUUGUGCCAUGUUGCACCAUGCCAUGUUGCACCAUUCCAUACCAUGCCAUGCCAUGAUUCUCCAUGUCAUGUUGCACUGCACCACGCCAUGCCAUGAUGCAUUGUGCCAUGUUGCCCUGUUCCAUGCUGCACUGUGCCAUGCCAUGCCACGAUGCACCAUGCCAUGAUGCACUGUGCCGUGCCACGCCAUGCCAUGCCACGCUGCUUGCUCCAGCCCCAAAUAAGAGUUAAUAUCUGUGAGCACCAAAAAAUAAAUAAAGGGAAUGGAGAGCACCACCACGGCAUCAGGGCCCUAAAUCACCAAGCCUUGCCUGUCAGCCAAUUUCUCUGCAGAAAGCUCUUAGCAGUUAAUUUCUGGCUAAUUUAUUAUCCUUCGGCUUAGCCCUACAGCACCAUUAGCAGUACACUGACACAACUGAGUGAAAUAUUGUCUAAUUUAUUAUCUUAUUACUCCUCUGGAACAGGAUCAAUUAAUUACCCAUUAAAGUAUUUCAGUUGCAGAGAUUUAUUAGGGGGCUCGGCGCUUUAACAGAUGAUUAGUUAUAUAUGUUUGUUUGCCCGAGGAGCGCAGACUCGCAAAUGACUGGAGGGGAAGGGGAAAGACACCGCGUCGGGAGGCACCUAAUGGAUCUUCUCUUGACUCUCUGAAAAUGGAGCAGUCAAUGACAAGAAUUAUCGACUCAUUCACUUGCGGUUUGGAGAUAACCAUAUGUACCGGGAGGGAGAGGGGGUGAAGGGAACGGGGAGGGAGAAAAAGCCUCACUCAACUGCUUUUUCCAUUCAAUAAAUUUGCUGCAGAAUAUAUUGGAUUGGGGUUUGAUGGCUAUUUCGUGUUUUGCAGAGUGCUGACACUGGUAUGAUUCAGUAAUUAUUGUUUCUUUUAAGUUAUUGCUGUAAUUUUGCUUUCUAAGAUCCCAAUCAAUUCCCGCCUCUCAAGGGCACGCUUGAAAAGCGAUAUUUGAAAACAGCCCUCUGAUAGAUUGUGCCGUUAGACAGUGGCUGAGACAAAUAGCCUAAUCUGGCACAAAUUAGCUUGGCUUCCACAGAUAGUUUUAUACAGCGAUGUAAAUUAUAUUGUCAGGGCCAGUCACUUUCCUGCUUAGAGUGCAGCUAACAAGAAAGAGCUGAGAUGCUGCCGGGGCUGCCGUGAGCUCCAGGGUGGCUGUGGGGCGGCUGUGAGGCAGCUAUGGGGCUGCUGUGGGGCACAGCAAUGGGGCGGGGGGUGGCAUUGACUCAGCCCAAGCACUGAGUGGUGGCGAUGCAAAGCAGCGCAGGGGUGCAGCACUGAGGUCCCCCCUGCUCCACAACUUUGGGGGGCAGCUGAUGGAUGGCAAAGCCGAAGCUGCCCCCAAAGCUCCUUUGUGGCCCCAUUGGUUCCCCAUGUCCAGAGCGAGUGGAGUCAGGGUGGGUUUAGGGGUUGCAGGCUGUGCAGAUUGGAAGGGAGGGAGAAGCAGAGUGAUCUGGAAUUGCUGUUGCAGCACAGGAGCACCCACAGAUGUAUUUCUAUGCAACUCUCCACCCAUGGAAUCCAUCACUGCGAGAUAGCACAGACAGCCUGAGCAGCAUGGAAAUGGGGUGUUUAGGCAACUAAGCAGGUACACAGCCACCUAAUGAGACAGGCUCCAUUUAAAUCAAGUGAUGAGGAUCGAGAUCUCACUGUGAGCCACAGAAGCAGGCAGGGAUGGGGCUGCUGUGGCCUCAGGGCUCCUGGCUGAGCUGUGGACCAUCCCCAGGGCUGCACUGCAAGGCUGCAUCAUCACCUCCAUCACAUGCAGCUGCAUCGCCCCAUCACCGCAUGCACACAGGUGCUGCAAAUGAAAAAGAGCACAAAGGAGCAUCCCCAGCAGCAGUGCCCUUGGCUGGGCAGCAGAGCCAGGAGCUGAGCCCGGCUCCAUCCCACCUCCAUGCAGUGUCCUUCCUUUCUGCUGGUGCAAUUCUCGUUCCUCUUCCAGCAGCUGAGUAAUGGCUUUGGAAAGAUGGCACUGAGCUGAUUUAGGGGCUUGACCUUGGGAAUGCUCCUGCAAAAGCUGCGGUUUCCUGAGCACAGCUUCAUGUUUCCUUUUAUGAACACUUCGCAGGUUACACGUAUAUUUGGGUAUGUAGCAACUGAGUGGGAAAAAAAAUAUGCAUGCUAGAGAGAAAGAAGAGAUGAAAAAAAAUCCCUUUUAUAUCUCCAGGCUGCCUUCAGCAACAGCAUUCCUAAAUAGGAGAGGUUAAAUAUAUUGCUGCCAUUACACUCUACAAGGAACACAUUCCAUAAAAACGAAGGUGCCGUAAAUUAUACAAAUAUGAUGCUAACAAGCCAGGAAAUGCACUGCUAAUGAGGUCAGCUAUAGAACUCCCGCAGUGCUGCAAAUCAUGUGCCAAUCCGGCGCAGGAGGUACAGGAGCAGCCCUGGGUCAGCAUUUUCUGAGCGCAUUUGUAACCUGCUGUUCAGCGAAUAGUCAUACAGGUAGAUAAAAAUCCUCCUCCUCUCCUUGUUUAUGUGUCAAAUAAGCACGGCAGCAGACAAUCACGCUUUGCAUUAAUGCACCUUGCUAUUACGCCUAUUGUUCUGUGCUCGGAGUGGAGAAUUAGUCACUCCAAUGUGCAAAUAUUGGUUACAGUUUGGAAGCGUGCACGCUUUUGUGUUCCUAUCAGACUUGCUCCUGGAGGAAUUAUGCAUGCUGGCAUCAGGGCUUUUUCUUUCCUUGUACGUACUGUAUUUGCUAAAGCUCUUAAAAGGGGGAAAAAAAACCUCAAAUAAACAUGUUUGCAGCAGGUGAGUUAUUGGCUCAUUCAGACUGCCUCUCCUGUUAGGCACUGGGACAAUAACUGUGUUGAAAUGAAGCGUUUAGGAGCCCACAUGAGAAACCUGCCCCAAAUCUGCAAGGAUGGAGAAUGAGCUCAGAACCCUUUGGUCCGUUUCAUCCCAGAACUGAGGAGAAGUGGCCCUCACCCCACAUAACCCAGAGCUGAGAUCUCCGCAUGGCCGUGGCUCGGGACCCCUUCUUCGCAUUGCAGAACAGUUUGGUUGGAUGCGACCUCAACACCGCCAGCAGCACACAGGAACCCUGAAAUUGCAUUGCCCUGCAGACCGAGCCCAGUGCUCGGCUAACACAGAGCAUUUCCACCAGCCAGCCUUGGAUAUGGGUUUCCCAAGGCAUCGCCUUCGUUCAUCCACUUACUUAUGCAUUCAUUCCUUCACCCCAGGAGGAGCACAAGACAAGCCGAGCUGCUGUCCACAGUGGUACCCAUUUCUCAUGACCUCGGCUGGGAUGACCACACAGCACAGAGGACAGACAUCCGUGGGACUCUGAGCUGCCACCAAUGGAGGUGAUCAUCCCAGAUAAAUGCUGGUGAUCCCUGAGAUGUGGGACCCGCUCAGACCGAGCAUGAAAUACACAUUCCCAUCUUCCAUUUCCAUCCAGACUUUAUGGGUCCUCCACGGAGAAAAUAGAGCAAAAGCCCAGCUCAAAAGCCUCUCAGCUCAGCAAAUGAAGGAAGGAGGAAGCACGCUGGCUGCCCGGCCCAGGUGGAAGGGAUUAUCUCUGCGUGAGAGGAACCAGACAGAGCCAUGGCAGAGCUUCCCACUGCACCCAAUGGGACUGCAGAGCUUGGAGGGCUUGGGAUGUGUUUGCUGGCCACCAGCACAGGGCUGGUCCUGCUGGACGCCUGCUGUCCUCGGGUGCUGCUCAUAUGAAGAACCGCUGCAGGCAGAAUGCAUGUCUACAUUUAAUAAGCUGGAUAUUUACGUUAACUAAAUAGCAGCUAAUUAUGAAAACAUACUUAAGAGUCUGAGCAAUUAAGCAAUAAUAUAUUACAUACUUAUUAAGCCUCCAAUACACAUGUCCUUAAUAAUCAAAAUAUUAAUAUGCAGCUACUCUUCUAUUAUACAGCAACUCUGCUAUUAUACAGAGAGUGUCCUAUUACUGCCAAAUUAAAUGCGUAGUUAGGCGAAUUUAGGACACUUAAUUUAAUGUGUUCCCAAGAGUUCACUAUGGCAGAAACUGCAAGACAGGCCUCAACACAGGCAGCGCAGGCCUCCCAGAGCUGCCCUUUGCUCCAUGCCACAUGGCUUCAGCUGUCCAGGGAUUUGCUCAACCUCUUUGGGGCAGCCCAUUGCUGGGAGAGGCCAAUCCUUAGCUCCCAAUUCCCAGCUCUGUAGGGUCUUUGCGUUGGCUUCAGUGGAUCACAAUGGAAGUGAGGAAAAGAGGCAUUGUGAAGCAGAGCUGGGAGUGGAGAUGCUUGGGGAGAAAGCCAGCUGCAAGUGGGGAAACCCAUGGGCAGGCUCCUCCACUGCCCCAAACACCAGACAUGUUAGACAUGGUGCUGUCACUAGGUGCUGUUAUACGUUGUCGUAUCUUGAGUUAUGAUGCAAGGUGAGGGUGCUGAACACACCUGUAAAUCCUUACUGUAAAACCCAGGGGUAUGUUUUCCCUUCUUCAAUUAAGCCCCAAAACAAUAGGCUUCAUUCUUCAUCACUAUGCAUUUUUUUCCCUGUGCACAGUGGGUGUGAAGUGUAAACAGGCUGAUUUGGUGUCAAUUUACACCUCAUUGUGCAUAGGAAGAAAUAAGGGUGAGAAAGGCAGGGACUGGCAGGGCCUCUGAGGUUCAGAGACCAGAGGGAAUGAGAAGAAAACAUGGAUUCCUGUGCCAGGAGGCCCUUUCAGUUAAAAUAAUACAAAUAGUACCACAUCAAAAUGAUUCUCUUUGUAAUAUUUGAGGUGAGGAUGGGGGCACGGGUCUGGAAAGCCAUGGAGUGCCCCUGGCAGGCCACAAAAUGUAGAGACACGUGUAGGGCACAAGUGGCAACCACAAGUGGGGGUGGGCAGAGUGCCCCACUGAGGAGCUGCUGCCCGCUGCUGGAUGUUGCUGAGGCUGUUUCCCAUAUGGCUCCUGGCUGGGAUGAUUUAUGGGGUGAGGAAAGCAUGCUGAUAAAUGUUGCAGCUGGGCCUGGCGUGGACCUGGGGUAUCACAGCCCCAUCCAGACGGCCUUAAUGGAAGCUGCCGGCACCGCCGAGCAAGGCGUUAUUUAUGGCCGUCUGUAGUGCCACUGCAGGGCAUUCAUCAUUGCUUUGGGCUGAGGGUGAGAGCAGGACGAGACCACGUGCUGCUGUGGGGAGGAGAGGGUGCAGGAGCCGGGGCUGAGCUUUCCUUGGGGAAAAGGCUCCGUUCCCUCAGCUGCUCCCAAUGUUCUCCAUCAGUGAUUGACCAGUGGGAUGGGAUGGGAUGGGAUGAGAUGGAGAUGGGAUGGGAUGGGAUGGAGAUGGGAUGGGAUGGGAUGGGAUGGGAUGGGAUGGGAUGGGAUGGGGUGAGAUGGGAAUGGGAAUGGGAAUGGAAUGGAAUGGUGGCAUCUUGGACCUGUGUCAGCCAAAUCCCUGCAGCCGUGGAUGGAAAAAGGGCUCUCCCCAUUGCUGCAGCUGCUGGAAGAAUGAAAAAAUAAAUAAAAUUUAAAAAAAAAAAUUAAAAGGGAGCAGCUAUAAAAUGGAGAUACUAAUAAAAUGUUCCAGGAAGAUGAAUUCUUCCGAUAUAAUGGUGAUCCCUGAUACUGAAAUGUUCCACAAAUACAUUUUCAUAGCCCCACUCAGUAUUAUUUGUAGAUCUUUUUGCAACCCUUGUCAACAAAUUCCUGAUAAAAAGGAGACACUUUGCUGUGUGCUAAAGCUAUGAAUUUAAGAAGUGUCAACCGGUCCUUAUUUAUGGUGCAAUCUUUGGCUUUCUCAUUUUACUGAUGGGCUUUGGUGCAGACUUGCUGCUCCACAUGCACAGUUUGGGGUGAAAUAAACGAUCCCACUCGGGUUCACCGUGGUUUGGGUGCCCCGGUGCUGAGCUACGCUGUGCCCAGCUUUCACCCCAUGCCUGUGACCCCGGGACCUAUAAAGGAGGCUGUGCAAAGCCGGCUCUAACAAAAACCUUUUCCGGUACAAAUCCAUGUACAAAUCAGCAACAGAUUAUUCAGAGUUUGUGCUUGGCGGGUGCUGACAGUAGUUAAUGAAAUAACGGCUGAGAAAAGUCCUGCUUGCAGAGUGCUGCUUGGGCACAGCUGUAUGGGGCCAUGGAAUGGCUGCAGCCAAGCAGCCCCACGCUGCAUUCCCCAUGUCCCCAUAUGGAUCGAGUUCUUGCUGGGCUCUGCAUGGAGAUGCCCAUCCCAGCAUCAUGGUGUGGGAUGCCAGCGGUCCUCCCAUUCCUGGGGGCACAAUGGGGGCACUGACAGCACUGGAGCUCCAGGAUAGAGGAGCCAGGUGUGGAGCCCAGUUCCUCCAUGCUAGGAGCCACGGGGACAAUGGGCUCCAGUUAAAGCUGACCCUACUCUAACUAUGGCACGUGUUCAUAAUUUAAGCUCUUUACAACAGUGCUUGGUUAACACCGGAGCCUGCUCCCCGCUGCCCGUACCUUUUGUUGGGGUGAUUUACUGUUCCUCUGUGCCCCUCUGCCCACUGAAAUUCAUAACAGCUUUCAUGCAGCUAUCAAAAAGCCCUUAAUUAUAGCUGUGUCUGGUCGUGCCAUUGGAGCUAAAGGGCCUGCUGGCACUUUCCUUUCACAGGAAUCCAGUUCCCAGCUGGAAUGAAAUUUGCCCUGCUGACGGGGGCUUUUUAUGAGUUUGUCUGAGGCCUUAUUAAAAAAAAACUCUGGUUUUGGCACGCUGGUGCAGUGAGCUCCGCUGUGUGCACGGGGUCCCAGAGGAGCCCUGGGACAGGGCUUGAUCGCACCCCAACAGGACUGCUGCUGCGUGGGGAUGCUAGGGGCUUGCUUUUAUAGGAGAGGCUCCAUUCUAAUUAUGCAAAGCCUCGCAGGCAAACGUGAAAGGAAUGAACUCUACCCCAACAAAAGCUGUGCUGUUCAGUGCUCCGUGAGCUCCAGCCCUCAUUGCCUGCUGUGUUGGGUGGUUGUUUCGCGUGUGUUUCUUAGGAGGAGGCAGCGUGGUGUCACCUGGGGACACCUCACACAGUGCAGUGAUGGAGGCACAGGGGUCAGUGUCCCCACAUACGGGGAGGGGACCGGCCCCACCUGUGUGCCACCCAACCCCCAUAGUGCAGCCCAGUGCCUCCCGUCUUAUUACAGCCCCACUGCUGCUGCCCAUCAGUGCCGCCCCAAGUGUUAACCCUGGGCACGAGGGACGUGAAGAAUCCAGUUACAUGGAGGAUACAGAGCCAUGAGACGACUGCCAAAAAUGGAGCCAUCGCCUGGAAUAGCAGUUAGGGAUCUCUGAGCUCUCUGCAGGACCCGCAGGGGAGCUCCUCGCAGUCCUGUCCCACCCCACGUUGAGUUGCAAGGUGCAAAUUCCCAUCAGGAGAAGCGCCAUCCGAUCCCUGUGCAAAGAGAAGGGACUGUGGACACAGCAGGAUGCAGCCAAGGAAUGUUCUUGGUCUUGGCACCCACAGGCACAGCUAAAAGGCAGCGCUGCACCAGUGCACGCUCAGAGCUCUCUGGGAUAUCCAGGGGAUGCUUUUACCCGAUGGUGCAGAUGUCAGCCCCAAACCCUUUGCUAUAAGAGGUUUCCCAGCAGCUUGUCCAAGCUGGUAAAGCAGCACGUUGCAAAACUGAACAGAAGCGCUCAGGCAGUUUUCCAGAGAGCCAUGUGCAAUGCUGCUGGGGGACCCAAGGGCAGAGUCCUGGGGCUCCGUGUAAUUUAGCUUAAAAAAGAUGUGGUGUUUUCAGCAAAAACCGCUUCUGAUGCUGAUUCAGACCCUUGCAAGGCCACGUGCUGCUUUGCUGGGGACUUUGCAGCAGGGUUCUGCUCCCUUUGCAGUGUGUGCUGUGCUGGAACAGAGGGUCCCACGAGUGCACAUUUUUGCAGAGAGGGUGGAAAAUUGCUGAAUGCAGACUUUGUGUUGGGCUCUCUUUGCAGCCAGGAGGCUCCCAACAGCAGUGCCCCCCUCCCUGCUCUGUGCUUAAGGGUUUGCUCCCCUCGGCAUUGUCUGUGUGUGAUGAGGGAAAACAGAGGCCGAUAGCGCUGUGGAUUCCUCCUUUGAGUGGAAAUGCAGCUCUUUGUUAAUGCUUGCCAUUGCUAUGUGUUAAGUGGGGAGUCCAGCGUGUAUUUAUUUACCUCUGGAGGGUUUUAUGACCUCCACAUGCACAUUCUUUGCUGAUCUGAAGGCGCAGCCAUGCGCGUGCCAGCACUGCAGGGCCAAUCCCCACGCGGCGCUUCUGCUCCGGGGUCAGCUCACAAAGAGAAGGUCAGAGCAAAGACAGGCGGUGUUUGGGAGCCGAUAACCACCCGUCCAGCUGAAAGGGGUCUGAUUUCCCCAUCUGAAGGGAGAUCUUUGAUUAGUGACUGAUGGGGCAACUUCAAACGCCGGCGGCUCCGGCUGAGAUAAGCGCUCAGACCUGGGAAGCUCCUUCCCAAUGCCUCUUUGAUCUGGAAUUAGGGCUGGAAAUCUCACUGGCUUUAUGGGGAGAUUUCCAGGGUUUUAAUGAUGGGCACAAUGGGAUCCACUUGGUUUCCCAGCGCUGAGCUUCCAGCUCCACAGGGACACAAGGGGCUCCGGCUCCCCAUGGAGAGCAGCCCCAACCCAUGUCCAAGAGCUGAGUAAAUGGACCAAACAUUACUGCAUCGGGGUUUGGGGGAAACCACCCCCACUCCCAGGGGCCCCCCUCCCCCCGCAGAGAGGUUCCCCCAACACCCAAUGAUGUGUGCCAGGUGGGCACGGUGUCUGCUCGCAUCUGCUCCCACAGUGGAUGCCAACAGAGCAACGUCAGUCCCCUCCAUACUUUGCAGCGUAAAAUGUGUCACACCUGGAAGUAAUUAGAAUGAAUUUUUACUAAUUCAUAACUAAUUGCACAAUUACUCUUCUAUGAAAGAUUCAGCUCUCGGAAGACACUUCGACACGUGAAAUCCACUUCUCCAAAUCUGACUGAAGGAAAAAGCAGGAGAACAUCGGGUGGCACUCACAGCACUACAUUCCUUCCCAGCAGAGCUGCUCCUCCAUCCGGGGAUGGCACAGCCGUGUCCCUGUGCCCGGCCCCACCGCAUGCCCCCACCCCACCGCACACUGCUGCCUAGGGCUGCAUGCUUGCAAAUGAUGUUUACUAUUUAAUAGGAUGUGAUGAGACUGUUCUGAUACUUCAAAGGCAGCUGACAGUUUUGUUAGAGAUAAGGAACUUUUGGACAAUUAUGGUGAAGGCUUUGACAGCAAGAAAACGCACAAACCUUGUAACUGUAACCAGCACCAAAGUCAGAGAUUCUUCCCUGGAAACAACUUGAAUAUUCAUUUUAUCCAUUAAGCGUCACUUCGUUAUUUAUUUAUUUUUAUUUCACGUUCCUUUCUGUCACUUGGCUUCCUUCAAGCCCAGGAGAGAUCUUUUCUUGUUACGAGACAUACAUCUUCCCCCUCCCUCAGCUUUCCCAGCUCUGAGCAGGCUGCACAGCUCCCUCAGUCUGUCUGUCUGUCUGUCUGUCCAUACAGCCAUCCAUUUGUCCGCCUGUGUGUCCAUCCAUGUGUCUGCCUCUCUGUGUGUCUGUCUGUCCAUCCUCUGUUCCCAAGCUCUCUCAGCCCUUUGGGGAGCAGGGAGUGGAUACAGUAGUCACUGCACAAUUCCCUUUGGGCCAAAGGGAACUGAGGGCUCUCUGAGGUCCAGUAGCCUUGGUUGGAGGGCUGCGUGUCCGCCUCUCAUUUAAGGCUGGACCCCAACCCCUGGGCUGGACCCUGGUGGGAAAGACACUGUGCACUCAGCCAGGAUGAGCAAAGCCUGGAUCACCUGGUGCAGGACCACUGCGUGGUGCAGGGAUGCUCAGGCAGCACGUUUCUUUCCAUCACCACCUUCUGCUAAUCAAUCUGCCGAAAAGGCGGUUUGAUACUAGGGCAUAAAGCUGAAGCCAUGGAUCUAAGGAUCCUGCAUGGUGCCAACGGGGCAUGCAGUGACAGCCACCGGUGCGUGCAGUGACAAUGACCGGCAAUGGGAAUCCUACGCGGCCGCAGCACGGCGGCACAGAGCGCUGCUCUGUGCAGGGAACAGCUUUGUGCAGCCAGCAGGGCCCCGUCUCUGUCAGAACGCCUUUGCAAAGCCUCCAGCUCCGGGUGUCAGGGAGGACAAGUUUUUUAAUCAUGUUAAAAUGAUUUAUUUAAACGUCAAGCCGUGUCACCUCACUUCCUUUCAUUUUUCAAACUGUUUGUGUUUUUGCUGGAUGAUAAAUUUAUCUUCAGACAGCCUCAAUAUGACUAAUUAACUUUGAAAUAUAAGAACCAGAUGUGUGAGCUGGAGAGCUUUCUGAACCCGUGCCAGGCGCUCCUCUCCUCCCUCCCCGCCUCCCACGCUCCCCCCUCACUGCAGCUCACGCAGAAGCCCUGGUCCCCACUGCACCCAAAAUGGCCUUUUUUUCCCCCAUUAUGGUGCCCCCAUAAAGGGAAACAACACUGAGUGACUGCUUGCAGAGAAACCCUAUGGUGUAAAGGGGGCUGUCCCCUCUCCUUUCAUUGUUGCAGUGCUGGAAGAAGUCGGGCGCUCACGUACCAACUAACUCUGCACCCAACAGUUCUGUAAUUCUGUGUAAUUAAGCAAAGCUGAAAUCCCUCCAUGCCCACGCAUGGCCUCUCCCCACCACAAAUCCCAGCGUUAAAAAGCUGGAGAAAUCCCAGUUUUCAGCUUUAUUUCACAAUUCCGUUGGGUGCACGCAACGUGCAGGACAUUAAGGUCGGGAUGGACCAAAGCCACGUGCCCUGCUCUGCUUUCCAGCACAGCCACAGACGCAGAGCCUGGGGGGACAUGGCCUCUGUGGGGGUGGGAGAACCCUUUCCCAACCAGACCUCCUUUUUGGAAGCAUCUCUCCAUAUCACAUUGAGCUCCAGUUGCAAUGGAUGCAGCUGUGCGCCGUCAGUGGGAUCCCACGCGCCCUCGUUGGCCAACUCUCAUCCCCUGUCUGGUGCACUGCACAGCCCUGCUCUGUGCCUCGCUGGGGGGGUGGCAUCGCCUGUCACGCAAAUUUCAACAAAUACCUUUUGAGCCAAAACUGAUUUUUUUUCUUUCUUUUCAAACAAACUGUAAAUAUUCAUAGAAAAAUGUUGAUUUUGGUGGAAAUUUUCUUGAUCUUCUUGGAAAUGGCAAGCAAAAAUAAUGUUUUUUUAAUUUGCUUUUCGAAAGUAUGGGUUUUUUUUUUUCUUUUUAAGUUUUCAUUUCUACAAUGUUAAAUGUAUUCCAUGGAAAAAAUUCAGCCACAGAAUUACUUGGGCCAUGCACAGGGAGAUGGCAGCUGUGUCCCAACCCUUCACAGCAUGUGGUCUUCUAAAGGAGUGCUUUGGUUUUGGUCCUGCCUUCAUCAGCAAGACACAGGUCAAUGGUUUUAAUUACAGCUCUCCUGGGAUGGGAUGUGGAUGGGAUGGGAUGGAGGUGGGGAUGGGGAUGGGAAUGAGGAUGGGAUAGGAUGGGG